UUUACAUAAAAUUUCAGCAUUUUCAAGGGACUUCAAUCGUAAACAAAAGCAUAACAAUCGUCUUUCAUUUCUAUUUUAUGUUGGCAUAGGUCUUUAGAUCGAUUGAUUCGGGAUCUGUAAAGGGAUUCCCAAAAAGCGUUGAAGAAGCUGCAAAGCAAAAUCUUAUAUGUGGAAAGAACUUGAAAGUAGACAAGAGCAUUCACACGGCGUACGUGAAAGCGAUUAGAUCGGGGCAACACUUCAUCUACAUUGAAAACCAGCUUUUUCUUGGCUCUUCCUAUCAUUGGCCAUCAUACAAAAAUGCUGGUGCAAACAAUUUAGUGCCAAUGGAGCUGGUAUUGAAGAUCGCAAGCAACAUAAAUGCAAACGAGCGCUUCUGUUUGUAUAUAGUUAUACAAUGUGGCCAGAGGGUGUCCCU